rnacentral:rRNA from 1 species
AUUGAACGCUGGCGGCAUGCCUUACACAUGCAAGUCGAACGGCAGCACGGGAGCAAUCCUGGUGGCGAGUGGCGAACGGGGGAGUAAAGUAUCGGAACGUGCCCAGUCGUGGGGGAUAACGUAGCGAAAGUUACGCUAAUACCGCAUACGAUCGAUGGAUGAAAGCGGGGGAUCGCAAGACCUCGCGCGAUUGGAGCGGCCGAUAUCAGAUUAGGUAGUUGGUGGGGUAAAGGCUCACCAAGCCGACGAUCUGUAGCUGGUCUGAGAGGACGACCAGCCACACUGGGACUGAGACACGGCCCAGACUCCUACGGGAGGCAGCAGUGGGGAAUUUUGGACAAUGGGCGAAAGCCUGAUCCAGCCAUGCCGCGUGCAGGAUGAAGGCCUUCGGGUUGUAAACUGCUUUUGUACGGAACGAAAAGGUUUGGCCUAAUAAGCUGAGCUCAUGACGGUACCGUAAGAAUAAGCACCGGCUAACUACGUGCCAGCCGCCGCAGUAAGAC